UCCGGUCAUAUCACGUUCAAACACCGGUUUCCGUACGAUCACUGAAGUUAAGAAAUAUCGAGCCUCGUCAGUCCCAAGAUGGAUGACCGCUUGAGAAUAGCAAGUAUUGUAAG